CUGCAGGUUCGUGAGCUGCUGCUGCUGGUGGGCGAUGGUCUGCUUCACCAGCACGCUCUUGAUGCUCUGCUCCAUGGCGUACUUCUUGGCCUGCGAGAGAAGGUGUUGAGGAGCACUGGGGGGCCUGGCCUGCGGGGAGAUGGGCCUUCCCCCGCCAGCGGCUUCCCCCUGCCGCAGCGCCCCGGGCAGGACACACGCUCUCACCUUCUGGAGGGCCUCUUGCUGCUCAGGCGUCAGGGGAGGCAGUCCCAGCUUUGCGGCUGUGCUCUGCCCGUUCUCCAUCUUGAUGGAGUCUGUCCCCUGGUGAUGGGGAGCAGGGAAGGCAUUAAGGACAAGUUCAAGACCUCCCUCACACGGCCCCAGGAGCCCACCCCACCUCCUUCCCCGACAACCGCACGUGGCCUGCAGCUCAGCCCGCUCCCAGGGGCAGACACGUCCUCACACAGACUGUCUCCCACCUAGCCUGGACGUGGGUCUGCCCACCUGACACCCCUAUGCCUGUCCCAGGCCGGUCUCCUCCAGGAUCCACCGGGAGGACACACACCGAGGCAGACAGACACCUUGGGGGCCCUUGGCCAACCCAGAGCAGCUGCAGGACCCAGGCUUGCAGGAGUCACCCAGACAGGGGGAAGAAAACAGUUGUGUAAGCUGGAAGAGAAGCACGGCCACCAGACCCAGAAGAGCACGUGUGUCGGGAGUUAGAACACACCUGCCUAUCCACCAGUUACUGGGUGGCCAGCAAGCGCUCCAGAGCGGGUAUCUGCAGCACCCAGCAUGAAGCCUCGGGAGGGACAGCAGAGAAGAGAGGCAGGUCGCCAGCACAGGAGUGACGAGCAAGGACAGAGGGUCCAGGCUGCGUGCCAUGGCCCUCCCCCCAGCGUGCUGGGGGCCCAGCCGAACAGCCCCCCAACACUCUGGACGCAGGCGCUGCCGUGGAGAAGCGUGAAGAACCUUCUUACCCGGCUCCCCCUCCCACACUCCCACCGGCUCUGCGACCAGAACUGGCCAAGAUCUCCCACGCCUACCCUGAAGCCCUGCCCCGAGGCCGCCAGACUUGGACUUUGACUUACACACGGUUCUGCUUUCACGUUUUACUUAAGUCAGAGAUCUGAAGUGAAACUGUAUCUCUGGCUCUUAGCAAUACCCUGCACAUUCGGGAACAACACGUUUGCCCUUCUGUAUGACACCGACGUGAAGGGCUCCCACCGGCUGAGGUUCACACCCCACCUGACCACAGCCACCAUCUGCCUGGUGUCUGAAGACACAUGAGGCUUCAACCCACCACAGAAGCAGGGAGGACGCCAAGUAGAGGCAGGGAGGAGGCGGCUACAGCCAGGCUGGAGGCUGGGUGGCGAGCGAGAGGGCAGGACAGAGAAGAGUCCCUCGGGCU